rnacentral:rRNA from 1 species
UGCGCAGGCGGGCUUGUGCGUCAGAGGUUAAAUACCCCGGCUCAACCGGGGAAGUGCCUUUGAUACGGCAAGCCUUGAGUGCGAGAGAGGAUGGUAGAAUUCCUGGUGUAGCGGUGAAAUGCGUAGAUAUCAGGAGGAAUACCAGUGGCGAAGGCGGCCAUCUGGCUCGCAACUGACGCUCAGGCACGAAAGCGUGGGUAGCAAACAGGAUUAGAUACCCUGGUAGUCCACGCCCUAAACGAUGUAUGCUUGGUGUUGGGGGUUUUUCCCUCAGUGCCGGAGGUAACCCAUUAAGCAUACCACCUGGGGAGUACGAUCGCAAGGUUGAA